UAAACGACUCUCGGCAACGGAUAUCUCGGCUCACGCAUCGAUGAAGAACGUAGCAAAAUGCGAUACUUGGUGUGAAUUGCAGAAUCCCGUGAACCAUCGAGUUUUUGAACGCAAGUUGCGCCCGAAGCCAUCCGGCUGAGGGCACGUCUGCCUGGGCGUCACG
rnacentral:rRNA from 1 species